CAGGAUUAGAUACCCUGGUAGUCCACGCUGUAAACGAUGAGUACUAGGUGUCGGGGGUUACCCCCCUCGGUGCCGCAGCUAACGCAUUAAGUACUCCGCCUGGGAAGUACGCUCGCAAGAGGGAAACUCAAAGGAAUUGACGGGGACCCGCACAAGUAGCGGAGCAUGUGGUUUAAUUCGAAGCAACGCGAAGAACCUUACCUAAGCUUGACAUCCCAAUGACAUCUCCUUAAUCGGAGAGUUCCCUUC
rnacentral:rRNA from 1 species